AUGAAAUCGUGGCGAAGCUUGGUGGUGGUCCGCUCGGAUCUGAAUGGAAGAGCUCGCGGUGUUUGGAGGGUGUUUUUGGUGUGGGUCGAUUCGCUGACAGUGGCGAAGCUUGGCCAUGGUGGGAUCUGGUUCUAUGACGGAGGAGUUGCAGAGGUAGUCGCGGGUUGCCUGAGCUCCGCUGAAGGAAACAACGCAGUGGUCGCGUGCGGACGGGGAGGCAGUUUAUCGUGGAGGAGGUUGAUGACGUUUCUGCCGAUCAGAUGGGCCGUUGCAAGCAAUCUGCAGUGGAGUUGUUGUAACAUUAUUGUUGAUGUUGAUGAUGGCGGUUGA